rnacentral:rRNA from 1 species
UACGGGGGGGGCAAGCGUUGUUCGGAAUUACUGGGCGUAAAGGGCUCGUAGGCGGCCAACUAAGUCAGACGUGAAAUCCCUCGGCUUAACCGGGGAACUGCGUCUGAUACUGGAUGGCUAGAGGUUGGGAGAGGGAUGCGGAAUUCCAGGUGUAGCGGUGAAAUGCGUAGAUAUCUGGAGGAAUACCGGUGGCGAAAGCGGCAUCCUGGACCGGCAUUGACGCUGAUGAGCGAAAGCUAGGGGAGCAAACGGG